rnacentral:rRNA from 1 species
GAUGAACGCUGGCGGCGUGCCUAAUACAUGCAAGUCGAGCGAACGGACGAGAAGCUUGCUUCUCUGAUGUUAGCGGCGGACGGGUGAGUAACACGUGGAUAACCUACCUAUAAGACUGGGAUAACUUCGGGAAACCGGAGCUAAUACCGGAUAAUAUUUUGAACCGCAUGGUUCAAAAGUGAAAGACGGUCUUGCUGUCACUUAUAGAUGGAUCCGCGCUGCAUUAGCUAGUUGGUAAGGUAACGGCUUACCAAGGCAACGAUGCAUAGCCGACCUGAGAGGGUGAUCGGCCACACUGGAACUGAGACACGGUCCAGACUCCUACGGGAGGCAGCAGUAGGGAAUCUUCCGCAAUGGGCGAAAGCCUGACGGAGCAACGCCGCGUGAGUGAUGAAGGUCUUCGGAUCGUAAAACUCUGUUAUUAGGGAAGAACAUAUGUGUAAGUAACUGUGCACAUCUUGACGGUACCUAAUCAGAAAGCCACGGCUAACUACGUGCCAGCAGCCGCGGUAAUACGUAGGUGGCAAGCGUUAUCCGGAAUUUAUGGGCGUAAAGCGCGCGUAGCGGUUUUUUAGUCUGAUGUGAAAGCCCACGGCUCAACCGUGGAGGGUCAUUGGAAACUGGAAAACUUGAGUGCAGAAGAGGAAAGUGGAAUUCCAUGUGUAGCGGUGAAAUGCGCAGAGAUAUGGAGGAACACCAGUGGCGAAGGCGACUUUCUGGUCUGUAACUGACGCUGAUGUGCGAAAGCGUGGGGAUCAAACAGGAUUAGAUACCCUGGUAGUCCACGCCGUAAACGAUGAGUGCUAAGUGUUAGGGGGUUUCCGCCCCUUAGUGCUGCAGCUAACGCAUUAAGCACUCCGCCUGGGGAGUACGACCGCAAGGUUGAAACUCAAAGGAAUUGACGGGGACCCGCACAAGCGGUGGAGCAUGUGGUUUAAUUCGAAGCAACGCGAAGAACCUUACCAAAUCUUGACAUCCUUUGACAACUCUAGAGAUAGAGCCUUCCCCUUCGGGGGACAAAGUGACAGGUGGUGCAUGGUUGUCGUCAGCUCGUGUCGUGAGAUGUUGGGUUAAGUCCCGCAACGAGCGCAACCCUUAAGCUUAGUUGCCAUCAUUAAGUUGGGCACUCUAAGUUGACUGCCGGUGACAAACCGGAGGAAGGUGGGGAUGACGUCAAAUCAUCAUGCCCCUUAUGAUUUGGGCUACACACGUGCUACAAUGGACAAUACAAAGGGCAGCGAAACCGCGAGGUCAAGCAAAUCCCAUAAAGUUGUUCUCAGUUCGGAUUGUAGUCUGCAACUCGACUACAUGAAGCUGGAAUCGCUAGUAAUCGUAGAUCAGCAUGCUACGGUGAAUACGUUCCCGGGUCU